AUUGAACGCUGGCGGCAGGCCUAACACAUGCAAGUCGAACGAGUGGCGGACGGGUGAGUAAUGUCUGGGAAACUGCCUGAUGGAGGGGGAUAACUACUGGAAACGGUAGCUAAUACCGCAUACCAUCGGAUGUGCCCAGAUGGGAUUAGCUAGUAGGUGGGGUAAAGGCUCACCUAGGCGACGAUCCCUAGCUGGUCUGAGAGGAUGACCAGCCACACUGGGACUGAGACACGGUCCAGACUCCUACGGGAGGCAGCAGUAGGGAAUAUUCGACAAUGGACGCAAGCCUGAUGCAGCCAUGCCGCGUGAAUGAAGAAGGCCUUCGGAUUGUAAAGCACUUUCAGCGGAGAAGCGUUACCCACACAGGAAGCAACGGCUAACUCCGUGCCAGCAGCCGCGGUAAUAC
rnacentral:rRNA from 1 species